UCAGUUUUGGUAGUAACCAGCCACUCGUGUUACCUCUAGUGUUCCUAGGAUUAAUGUUAUGUCGUAGUGUUUUUGCUCUUAUAUUGGAUUUACCAUUCUUCAGGAUUCCUGUCGACCUCAUUGGAUACUGACCUCUACUCCAGGAUUUGGAUAUUCAACACACGGACCUUAUCACCACCCUCCAUAACCCACCUCUCAUCUCACCCAAUGCCCCAUCCACCAGGACGCCCCACUUCUCUCCACCUCUGCUCCCUCUCCUGCGCUUCCCCCGGCUCUCUACUUCUCCCUCCUCCAGCCAACACAUACACCCACCACAAUGCUGAGCUGUUGUUGCAGUUCCAACCACAGACUUAUCUGUGCACCUUAAGUUCCUCCUUAUAAAUAAAUCAUUUUUUCCAUCAGUUUUUGGUCAGUGUUGUAUUCUGCAUGUCUUGGGUUAAGUACCUUCCUCCAAACAUGACACUCCUCUUCAAAGAGCAAAUCUGUUCAGCACAUUCUGACAGACAGACCACCAUUCUUCUGUCAUGAUGCUGUACAGGACAUUUUUAGAGUUUUUCUUUUUAAAGAUAAAUAGGAUUACAUUUAAAGAGCAAUACUUUCACAUUAUCAUUUUCCCACACUUCUGUAUAACUGUAUUUUGUUGUUUUUCAAUAAAGAAUGACAAAUUA